CGGCAGCUGUGUGAGGAACGCAAGCGUGCCCCGACUGUCAAAAUCGUCAAAGUCAGAGCUGUGCCUCACUCGUGGGCUUUCGCAAUACGAUUUUGAAGGGUCUGGGCGUAUACAGACAAGAAGCGAGCAGUAAACGAAUAUGUUCUCUUCUGUGAAUGCAAGCUAUCUCAACUUGCUCAAGUAUACCUUUAUGACUAUCAAAGGCACUUCCAAAUACAUUCGUCUAUGCAUAACGUAUCUGUGUCAUGUACCCAAGGAGACUGGAAUGGAAGCCGCAAGAAAGUUCCUGCAGCCCAUAUAGGGCUCCCGUGAUGAACAUGGCUGCCCAGGAAAACAUAUCUUUGUGUUGAAGCCGGUCUGUGCAUAUUUUAAUGAAGAUUAUGAGGUCUGCACCUCGUUCCACACUCACAAAGCUGGCCAGACAGCUGUGGAGUGAGGACCCCCAACACCACGCCUCUGCUAUUGGGUCAUCAGUACUACACUUCUCAGGCAUUGUUCUUCCCUUGGACAGUGACAAAACGCUAACCCAAUGGUAAUCAAGCUUAAGUAGCAUGCCUGUUUGCGUUCUAUCACUCAUUUGCGAACUGGGGUAAA